ACGAAUCGUUUGUUCUUGCCACAGCAACCUAACUAAAUACUAUAUUUUUGAUAUUUUUACGAUCUAUGAUAAAAACAAUAAAUAUUUGCGUAGUUUUAUCAUGAAUCAUAAAAAUACAAAAAAUAUAGCGUAUUUAGUUAGGUUGCUGUGGUGGCGAACAAACGUUUCGU